UAGGGAAUCUUCCGCAAUGGACGCAAGUCUGACGGAGCAACGCCGCGUGAGUGAAGAAGGAUUUCGGUUCGUAAAACUCUGUUGUUAGAGAAGAACAGCGCAUAGAGUAACUGUUAUGCGUGUGACGGUAUCUAACCAGAAAGCCACGGCUAACUACGUGCCAGCAGCCGCGGUAAUACGUAGGUGGCAAGCGUUGUCCGGAUUUAUUGGGCGUAAAGCGAGCGCAGGCGGUCAAUUAAGUCUGAUGUGAAAGCCCCCGGCUCAACCGGGGAGGGUCAUUGGAAACUGGUUGACUUGAGUGCAGAAGAGGAGAGUGGAAUUCCAUGUGUAGCGGUGAAAUGCGUAGAUAUAUUGAGGAACACCAGUGGCGAAGGCGACUCUCUGGUCUGUAACUGACGCUGAGGCUCGAAAGCGUGGGUAGCAAACAGG
rnacentral:rRNA from 1 species